AACGUAGGGCGCGAGCGUUAUCCGGAUUCACUGGGCGUAAAGCGCGUUGAGGCGGCUCCGUAAGUUGGGCGUGAAAGCCCCGGGCUCAACCCGGGGAGGCCGUCCAAUACUGCGGGGCUUGAGGGCAGCAGAGGGAGGUGGAAUUCCCGGUGUAGUGGUGAAAUGCGUAGAUAUCGGGAGGAACACCCGUGGCGAAGGCGGCCUCCUGGGCUGCUCCUGAAUCUGAAGGCGAAAGCCAGGGGAGCGAACGGG
rnacentral:rRNA from 1 species